GGCCGGGCUCGGCCGGAGGGCGGGUGCGGGUCCCCGCGUGUCACGCUCCAGCUCGAGAGGACAAGGAGGGCAAGAGUGAUCACUGACUCGGUGCCGUGGAUGGCGGAGCUCCCGUGUUGUUCCUUACGCGUGACAGCUAUUUCAUCUCCAGGUGAUCCCAUAAAGCGGAUACUGUUAUUAGCCCUAUUUUACAAUCUGCCCAAGAGGGGGUGAGGCCUGGAAGUGAGGCGGGCAGAGAUGGGACGUACAACACGAAGUCUGGAGAGGGCGCCUCCAGAUGCUUCUUUGCAGGGCUCGCUGCCUCUUGAACCAUGAACUUUGUCUCAAAAGCCAUCUGGUUUCUUGUCUCGAAAACAUCCCACGACAGCCCUGAGUGCUACAAACCAGGCUGGGUGAUCUGCUGCUGCUGGCUUCCAGAUAUUGCUCCAAACGUUUCUGCAAGGCUGGUGAGUCCCAGGACACUGAGACUUUAGAUGCCCACUGCCCAGUAUCUGGUAGUGCUCACAAAAAAUGUCGAUGGAGAAAAAAGUAUGACUGCAACACGGGGCAGCAAUAGGUAAUAGGGAAGACCUGCGCGCACACUAGGUUUACGCCCCGCCUCAUUCGAGGCCCUUGGAGGAAGCUGGAGAAGCAUGUGUGUAGUUCAGUAACCUCCAACUGGUCUUUCUGUGCAUGAACUCAAGAGCUGGAACUGUAUUACGAAGCAAAGAGCUGGUGCUCAGCAUUCGGCAGGGAGCUCUCAGGGGCCUACGUCCAGGAUUUUAGAUGAUGUUCACCUUUUCAGAGUAACUUAACUCACAGCUUUGGGUAUUCUAACAACAGCUUGUUACACCCUUGGGCACAGUUACAUGAGGACGCACCUAUAUAUCCUUCCGCAGGUAUGGCGGGAUAGCUCCAACAAACACCUGUGCCCUGAAGAGGCAAAGCUGGCCACUGUAGUGUGGCCUCGGGCCCCACGUGAAUGCCUCAGCGCGGCCCGACUUGCUCAGCGCCCAGGCAAGGCCACAGGUGGCGCCUAGUGCUUCUGUACGGCUGAAGAACACAGCGUAGAGACCCUGAUGUUUGUUAACGGCUGCUUUUCCUUCUUUUUUUCUUUCUUUUUAAGAUCUUCUCAUGCAGCAAAGUUCCUGUCUACCAACAUGAGUUGCAGUCUAAAGCCACAGUGAAUUUUGUGACGGUAACAUUAACAAUCCAAUGGAGUAGAAACAUUCUAGUCUUCCUAUAAACAUAUUAAACAUGGAGAACAGAAAUGAUUCUAGGAAUGACUUUGGUUUUUUUAAUUCUUCUUGAGGGAGAUAUAAAGAGCAUAGCAUCUUUGAAUUCUUGAGGCACUGUCACAAUACUCCAUGUGUUAUGGAAGAGCUGACACACAAAUAUAGGUCAUUAUUACUCUCCUUUUAAGAAUUGCGAGAGAGAGAGAGAGAGAGAGAAGCUGCAGCGAUCCAGACCAGACGAUAUGGUAACACCAAACAGAAGAAGAAACGGUCAAAUACACACUCACUAUACACUGGACUCCUUACUCUGUACGUACCCUCUGU